GCUCAUAUGACACAAGCUCCUCCUUAGCGGUUCUUCACAGUCCACACACACAAAGAUACACCAGCAGAGCGAUCAGACAUCCACAUCAACAAAACUCAUUUGAUUUCAGGGGAACUCAAAAAACUGUGCCAGGAAUGGAAGCAGCAAUGUAAUCUCAACUGAAAAAGCUACAGUUAUCAUCCAAGUAAAUCCACAGGUGGCACAAGAUACUGUUAUUUGUGGUGAUGGACAGCAGGCCAGAGGAACACAUCACAAUAUGACUCUUACAGAAUUUUUCAAAGCACAACCAAAGGCAUUAGGGACUGUCCCAGAUAAUGGUUGGAGUGAUGGUUUUCUUGUGUGGUAUUGUACGCACCACCAAUAUCUACAAUUAUCCUUACCCAGCCAUUUCUGUCAUUAGUGGCAUCACCUACUGGGGAUCCCUUAUUUACAUCAGUGCUGGCUCUCUGUCCGUUGAUGCGAACAACAGACUUCAUCUGUGUGGGGUGAAAGCCUCUCUUGUAAUGAAUGUGAUCAGUGCCAUA